GACGAACGCUGGCGGCGUGCCUAAUACAUGCAAGUCGAACGAACCGCGACUAGGUGCUUGCACUUGGUCAAGGUGAGUGGCGAACGGGUGAGUAACACGUGGGUAACCUACCUCAUAGUGGGGGAUAACAGUCGGAAACGACUGCUAAUACCGCAUAGGACAUAGGAUCACAUGAUUCUGUUAGGAAAGGUGGCGCAAGCCAUCGCUAAGAGAUGGACCCGCGGUGCAUUAGCUAGUUGGUAGGGUAAAGGCCUACCAAGGCGAUGAUGCAUAGCCGACCUGAGAGGGUGAUCGGCCACAUUGGGACUGAGACACGGCCCAAACUCCUACGGGAGGCAGCAGUAGGGAAUCUUCCGCAAUGGACGCAAGUCUGACGGAGCAACGCCGCGUGAGUGAAGAAGGUCUUCGGAUCGUAAAGCUCUGUUGUUAGGGAAGAACAGCGCAUAGAGUAACUGUUAUGCGUGUGACGGUAUCUAACCAGAAAGCCACGGCUAACUACGUG
rnacentral:rRNA from 1 species